rnacentral:rRNA from 1 species
GAUGAACGCUGGCGGCGUGCCUAAUACAUGCAAGUCGAGCGAACGGACGAGAAGCUUGCUUCUCUGAUGUUAGCGGCGGACGGGUGAGUAACACGUGGAUAACCUACCUAUAAGACUGGGAUAACUUCGGGAAACCGGAGCUAAUACCGGAUGAUAUUUUGAACCGCAUGGUUCAAAAGUGAAAGACGGUCUUGCUGUCACUUAUAGAUGGAUCCGCGCUGCAUUAGCUAGUUGGUAAGGUAAUGGCUUACCAAGGCAACGAUGCAUAGCCGACCUGAGAGGGUGAUCGGCCACACUGGGACUGAGACACGGUCCAGACUCCUACGGGAGGCAGCAGUAGGGAAUCUUCCGCAAUGGGCGAAAGCCUGACGGAGCAACGCCGCGUGAGUGAUGAAGGUCUUCGGAUCGUAAAACUCUGUUAUUAGGGAAGAACAUAUGUGUAAGUAACUGUGCACAUCUUGACGGUACCUAAUCAGAAAGCCACGGCUAACUACGUG